UGGGGAAUUUUUCGCAAUGGGGGCAACCCUGACGAAGCAAUGCCGCGUGAAUGAAGAAGGCCUUCGGGUUGUAAAGUUCUUUCGUGGAGGACGAAAAGGUGGGUGCUAAUAUCGCCUGCUGUUGACGUGAAUCCAAGAAGAAGCACCGGCUAACUCCGUGCCAGCAGCCGCGGUAAUACGGGGGGUGCAAGCGUUAAUCGGAAUCACUGGGCGUAAAGGGUGCGUAGGCGGUGCAUUAGGUCUGUCGUGAAAUCCCCGGGCUCAACCUGGGAAUGGCGGUGGAAACCGGUGUACUAGAGUAUGGGAGAGGGUGGUGGAAUUCCAGGUGUAGCGGUGAAAUGCGUAGAGAUCUGGAGGAACAUCAGUGGCGAAGGCGGCCACCUGGCCCAAUACUGACGCUGAGGCACGAAAGCGUGGGGAGCAAACAGG
rnacentral:rRNA from 1 species